GACGAACGCUGGCGGCGCGCUUAACACAUGCAAGUCGAACGGAAAGGCCUGCUUUCCCUUGUGGAUUGCGGGUACUCGAGUGGCGAACGGGUGAGUAACACGUGAGUGAUCUGCCCCCAACUUGGGUAUAAGCCUGGGAAACUGGGUCUAAUUCCCGAUAGGACUGCAGGGUGGUGCCUGCGGUGGAAAACGAUUUUCUAGUGGUUGGGGAUGAGCUCGCGGCCUAUCAGCUUGUUGGUGGGGUAAUGGCCUACCAAGGCGGCGACGGGUAGCCGGCCUGAGAGGGUGGACGGCCACAUUGGGACUGGGAUACGGCCCAGACUCCUACGGGAGGCAGCAGUGGGGAAUAUUGCACAAUGGGCGGAAGCCUGAUGCAGCGACGCCGCGUGGGGGAUGACGGCCUUCGGGUUGUAAACUCCUUUCGACCGCGAGGAAGCCACCUGGUUGGAAGGGUGGUGACGGUAGUGGUAGAAGAAGCACCGGCUAACUACGUG
rnacentral:rRNA from 1 species